AUGAAGCUUCUCUUCUUUUUCAUUUUCUUUUUCAAGAACGGUAUAAACCUGAUGAAAGCACAGCUAACUGCAGAGGUGUCAGGAGAAGUGAAGAUACGCUUUAUGUUUGAUCCAUUCUUCAAUUCCUACGAGAAGUCUUGCUGUAAGUCCGUUCUGUUUAGGUGCUUAUUCAUUGUUGGCAACAACGGAUAUGCAGAUGCAGCUUACAAAGGACGAAUAGACACCCAUGAAUACAGUGGAGCUCUGGAUGUAAGGAUCAGGAAUUUGCAAGCAAGCGAUGCUGGAAUGUACAGGUGCAAGAUCCACGGGAUACAAAACUACUUUUUUUACAAAGAUUUUCAAGUUGAUGUAGUUGGUAAGUUCUUUUAAAUGUGGUUAUUAUAAAGUCAUUGUUUGGCUUACACCAGAUAAAAUGUGACAAAGUAUUGCAGCUGAACUUCCUAAAUUCUUUUCUCUAGCAUGUGUACAGCAGAUUUCCACAGUUGGAACACCCACAGAUUUCCACAUUUGGAACACCCUGGAUCACGUUUUGUUUAUUUCCUAAAUGAAAAUAGGUUAACAUAUCUUUACACAUAUCCUUAAGAACACACUUUAAAUAUGACACGUUUAAAUUUCUUUUAAUGCUUAAUUUCUCUUUAUUUGUUGAGUCUAACAUAUUGGGAAAAAAAAUAAACCGUGCCACAAUUUUAUAUUAAUUUUAUAUAGUUUUAGUUUUCCUAUGUUAAGCUCAGCAACGUGCAUUACAGUGUACAGAAGUGGCUGCUCUUGUAGAGGAUGCAUUCACCUAUUUUCACUUAGAAAAUCAACAUCAUUUGACCAAGUGUAUCCAAACCUUUGCAUUAUUGUUAAUAAUGAAUGGAAAUGAAGGGCCACCAGCAGCAUUAUGAUAAUGAAAUCAUUCUAGUCGGUGGCUACUGGCUUACAUUCAUCAUAAGCUUUAGUACCAUUGAAGCUGUUUCUAUAUAAAGCCUUAUUAUUCAGUUAUUAAUCUUAAGACUGAUCAGUUUCACAGUAGUUACUGAAU
ensembl:lncRNA